UCUAGCACAACCCUAUGCAUACAUCUAACACCAUAGCACUAUCUAAGUAUCGAACACAACAAUCCUAUAAAUAAAUCUAACACACAACCUAUAUAAUAUCUAACAUUUAGACUACACACACACUUCCCUAAAGGCCUAAACAUACAUCUAACACACAACCCUAUAAUAUCUAACAUUUAGACUACACACACACUUCCCUAAACAUACAUCUAACAUACAACCCCAAACAUACAAUUAACACAUACAGUAUACACACCAAAACCCUAUACAUAAUUAAUUAUGAUCCAUACAUGCACGUCUAUCAUUCAUAGAUUUUUAUCUAUGGCACCAAGCUUUUUUCCUUUCAAGGCCCUCGGAUCAGAUCCACUAUAUAUAUAAUCCAUUCUCUUCUUUUUCUUCCAAUCUGAGACAAAUAACCCAAAAACAAACUUAACUGGUUAUUCUUUUUCAAUCAAAACUAACAAAGUAACAACAUAGUACAUCAUCAUAUAUACAUCAUCAUCAUCAAUCAAACUGACAAAGUAACAAUAUAUAUUUCAGGCAGAAGAAACAGAGGAUCUAUGUUAUAUUUUAAUCAACACAGAGUAUCUAAAUGGGUUAUUCUUUUUCAACAAUAAAAACCAACACAGUCGUUCUACUAUCAUAGCAUCUUUGUUUUGAGUAGAGAAGAAACAGAGGACAUAAAAUAUUAUAUAUCUUUAUCAAAAAAAAUACUAUUUCCCAAACACAUGCAUAGAAGAAUACAUUUGUGAAGACUGUAAACAACAACAUUUUUCAAGACCUCAUACGAUCCAUCCCUAUAUUAGUAAUAGAGAAGUACAAAAAGUAAUUCCGGGUCGGGUCAAUUUCAAAAAAUUACCCGAAAUUUGUAAUUGGAUCUUUUAAAGUUGGAUAGAUUAAUGGGUUUGGAUACAUACACCGGAUACUUUCCAAAUCUAAUUUUAGGAUUGUAUUAUUUCCAUAACUAAUUAUAUGAUUUACUAAUAUUUCUCUAACUAAUUUAAUACAAUCUAUUUAAAAAAUAUUAUUCUUCUUUCACUUUUAUUUGAUAUUAUUUUUAAUUUAUGAUAUUAUACUAUAUAAUAUAAAUAUUUAAUAAAAAUUUAACUUUUUUUGCAUAUGUUGCAAUUUGAAUUUUUCAAAACGGACAUAUAAUACUUAACUACACUCGGUUAAAUAUUUUGGACAAUGGUUUAAAAUCAAUAUAAGUAUGACCAAUAUUAAAAAUCAUUGUUACAUGAGCAUAUUUAAAAUUUCAAAUAGUUUCAAAAUAUUAUAAAUAAAAGGUUCAAAUAUAUAAAACUUUUAGAAUUUAAAAUAUUGAAAUAUUUUUUUGAAGACAUAAAUGUAAUUUUGGAGACAUAAUUUUAUUGAUAAAAUAUAUUAUAUAUCAAACUAUGUAAAUUUUAGAUAAUUCACGGGUAGUUUGCUAAAAUCACAAUAAUAAUGAUAAAAAAAGUUACGAAUAAUGUUUUUUACGAAAUGAAUUCUGUAACGGGUUGGACUUUCAAAAAAUAUAUUGUAAAUAUGUAAUUUUUACGUAUAUUCCUACUUUUACUAUAAAAAUGGUCAAAAUAAAUAAUUUAUCGAUAAAUAUUAUUUCGUGCUGUUAAAUUUUCACUGUUUUUUUAAUUGUAUCAAAACUCAGUAUAUGAUUAUUUACUCGCUUUUUCCUUUAUUAUUUUAUUUAAACUCAUCAUACAAAUAUCUGAUUUACUAUAAUCGACUGUACUCUAACAACAUUAAAAUGUAACAUAUUCUAAUCCGUUAAAAGUUAUAUAUAUGUAUUUAUUUCCCCUGCGAUGUAGCGCGGGUCCGAACCUAGUAUAUAUAUAUGUUUCCAUACUAAUUGAAAUAAGUCAGCUAAUAAUCUAUACUCUUAAGAGAGAAAAUAAAAUGAUCGGACGCAGAAUCUUACCUUUGACGAUGAUGAUGCUUC
rnacentral:lncRNA from 1 species